rnacentral:rRNA from 1 species
UACGUAGGGCGCAAGCGUUGUCCGGAAUUAUUGGGCGUAAAGAGCUCGUAGGCGGUUUGUCGCGUCUGCUGUGAAAGCCCGGGGCUCAACCCCGGGUCUGCAGUGGGUACGGGCAGACUAGAGUGCAGUAGGGGAGACUGGAAUUCCUGGUGUAGCGGUGAAAUGCGCAGAUAUCAGGAGGAACACCGAUGGCGAAGGCAGGUCUCUGGGCUGUAACUAACGCUGAGGAGCGAAAGCAUGGGGAGCGAACAGG